AGCUGGCUUCUCUCUCUCCGACGUAUGGCGCACCGGGCCAAUCCUCCUCUGAGCGCUCCCCAUCGAAUUGGUACUGGAUCCAGGUCCGAAGGUUGCUUGGUGGCACUAGCUUCAGCAAGUUAUUAGGACUAAUAUACUAUGGCAUUGUGAUCUUAUCUAGUGUACUGGAGCCAUUAGCUAUUGGCGCUAGACUUAUGCAAGUUAUUAGCUAGCUAUGUGCUCUAUGACUGAUCGAUGUAUAAAGCUACAGAUUUGCCAUCAGUUAGUGAUGCUCUAUUUUGUAACUUUGUACUGUAGUAAAGCAUUAUCUUAAGUGACUGAAUAAGAUUGAUGCUGCAUAA